rnacentral:rRNA from 1 species
CCUCUCACCCCCCUGUGCACUAUCUGUAGCUUGGGAUGAUCACAAAGUUGGAAACAGCUUUGAAAGCCCGUGCGAUGAAUUUUUAUAUACACCAUACAAAAAAGUUAUAGAAUGUAUUAUAUAGCGUGUAAUAGCGCGAAGAAAUACAACUUUCAGCAACGGAUCUCUUGGCUCUCGCAUCGAUGAAGAACGCAGCGAAAUGCGAUAAGUAAUGKGAAUUGCAGAAUUCAGUGAAUCAUCGAAUUUUUGAACGCACCUUGCGCUUCUUGGUAUUCCCAGGAGCAUGCCUGAUUGAGUGUCAUGAAAUCUUCAACUGCUUCAGCUCUCGUAGCUGUAAGUGAAGUUGGAAUUUGGAGGAUAAUUGCUGGCGUAACUUAGGUUGCUUGUUGGCUCCUCUUAAAUAAAUGAGCUUUCCGGUAGAUCAUGGUGAAGUAACACUGAUAUGAUAACAUAUCUAUAUUGGAUGUGAAAAGCCUUGAGUAGAGUGAGAGAGGGGGGGACUCUCUCUGUUCUCCUACAGGAAAGGUAGUUGGGAGAAAAUAUAAUAAAUUUGACCUCAAAUCAG